ensembl:lncRNA
AAACCGUAAGCCACCCAUUCACGGGACUACACAGGGAGGAGGGUUGCUAUCACUGAGAAGCAAAUGCAGUAAAAAUGCAGAAAACCUCAAGUCUUAGUGUAUUCUGCAAAGAUACACCGAGUGUCUCGUAAUAUUCAGCAUACAUGUCCUCAGACCAUCCUAUAUAGAAGUAGUACAGUCAGUGGCAGUGACUGAGUCUCAAAAUUCUGAGUUUUAGCCAGAUGAAUCAUUACAGGUGGUAAUUUACUGUAAAUAACAUACAGAAUGCCAUCAUUGAUUGUGUCCUUUAUGAGGAUUUGUCAAUAUCCAGGCAAAGUCACCAGUGACUGGCAAAAGGGAAACAUCACUCCCAGUUUUAAGAAAGGGAAAAGGAAAGUCAUGGGAAACUACAGACCAGUGAGAAUAAUCUCUGUGCCAGGGAAGAUCAUGAAGCAGAUCCUCCUGGAAGCCAUGUCAAGGCACAUACAAGAUGAGGACAUGUUCCGACACAUCCAGCAUGUCUUCAUUUCUGACCAAUCCGGUAAUCUUCUAUGAUGGAGUGGUAGCACUGGUGGACAAAGGAAGGGCAGCUAACGUCAUCUAGAUGGACUUCUGCAAGGCCUUUGCCAUAGACCCAUACCACAUCCUUCUCUCUACAUUGGAGAGAUAUAGAUUAGAAGGGUGGUCUAUUUGGUGGAUAAGGAAUUAACCGCAUGGUCAUAGUCAGAGAGCUGUGGUCAAUGGCUCCAUGUCCAGUCAAGUUGUGCCCCCCAAGAUUCUGUCCUGGGAGCAGUGCUCUUCAAAAUCUUUAUCAGUGACAUAGACAAUGGGACCAAAGGCACACUCAGCAAGUUUGCUGAUGACACUAAACAGUGUGGUGCAAUUGAUACAACAUGGCUCCUCUUCAGAGGGACCCAAACAAAUUCAAAAGGGGGGCCCAUGUGGACAUAACAAGUUUCAACAAGGCCAAGUGCAAAAUUUUGCAUUUGGGUUGUGGCAAUCCCAGACGUGUGUACUGACUGGGAGAAGAACUUCUUGUGAGAAAUCCUGCGGAGAAGGGUUUGGGGAUUCUAGUACAUAAAAACUUAACAUGAGCCAGCAAUGUGAAUUCUGUAAUUGAAUUUAGGAAGUUGACUAUUCCACCUUGCUUUGAGUUCCUCAGAAAUUGAAGAAAGAAUGAAAGCAGUACUUCCCUACUACUUGUGCUGUCUGCUCUUUCCCAAGAUGUAAAGAACAAUUAAUUCUACUUUUGAGAUUUUAAAAUAUGGCUUAUUUUUACUGUUGUUUGUUUGUUCUGUUUUAACCAAGCUUUCAUAACAACACUAUUUUGAUACCUAAAUUAAAUUCAGGGAAUAAUUUUUGAAAAGACAGUACAAGUCUGGAAAAUGAAAGAAACUCAAAUUACUCUCACCUUUCCUGUACAGGCUAAUGAUAUUGACCAAUAUGUGCAAGGUCAAGAGUCACUACUGUGACCCAUUCCACAUAUAUACAGUCUAAUAAGCGUAGGUAGCAGAAAAAUAGAUACAACACCUAUACAAUUAUAAGUGAAAAAAAUAUCAAUAUACAAGUAAGAUAGUUGAGUUUCUCCUCUUUGCUUUACACCAUCUUGGACCCUGCUAGAAAAUUUAGUCUUUGGUUUACUUUUUUAAUGAUUCUAAAGAAGUUCAUAAGUGCUUAUAGGCAUGCUAGGGAGGAACUGAAACAUAAAAAUAAGAAAUAAUAAAAAGCUCAUUUAAGAUAGCAGAAUUCAUCCUGUGAUUUAUUAAGCAUACGUAACCAUAUCAAUCUUCAUAAACAAUGCCCAUUCGGGUCACUUUGUUAGUCUGCAUAGAGAUUUCUGCCUUUAUGUCCCUUUUUUAUUCAGUAAAACAACUUUCCCCUGAAUAAAGAAACAACUGCUUUUGGCAAAGCACUCCAUAGAGAUGGAUGGAAAUAGGGAAUAUCUCUGGAAACACUGAAAUAUUUAAUCUUAUUAUAUUUUUCAAUGUUUGAAAUGCAGCACCAUUUUCUUUUCUUGUGAUUAUUUUUCUCUUUCCCAAAGGAAUCAACAGCUCUUUGAUUUAUAUGCAUUGUUUCUUUCACUUUUCCUCCUCCUUACCAUAGAGUAAAUGAUAAUAAAUGAUAUGUAGAACUCUUUAUUCACUUAUCAGUAGACAGAAGUACUAUAUUUAGUAUACUUAACAUUCCUAUAGUGUUGGAAAAAUAUCAAGCUACAAACUGUUUUUUUUUAUAAAAACAAACACAAUAAUAAUCAUAAUAAUAAUAAAAAUAUUUGCAAAUAACUGUACCUCUUGCA